AUGCACGCACCGUCCCCACGCGGCGCUCCCCCGGACGCGCACUCCGUCGAGCACCUUCCCCACGGCGGCCCCCUCCUCCACCGCCUCCUCCCGGCGUGCGCCACCGUCCCCUCCCUCCGCGCCCUGCACGCGCGCCUCCUCGCGCACGGCCUCCUCCGCGCCCUCCGCGCCCGCACCAAGCUGCUCAGCUGCUACGCGGCGCUGGGCGACCUCGCCUCCGCGCGCAGGGUGCUCGAUGAAACCCCCCGCCCUGACCCCUACACCUACAGGGUCGCGCUCGGGUGGCACGCCGCCGCGGGGCGGCACGCGGAGGCCGUCGCGCUCCACCGGGGCAUGCGGCGGCGGUGCCCCGAGGCGCAGGACGACGUCGUCCUGCUGUCCCUCGCGCUCAAGGCCUCCGUCAGGUCGGCCGACUUCCGCUACGGCAGGCGGCUGCACUGCGACGCCGUCAAGGCCGGUGGCGCGGACGGGUUCGUGAUGAACUGCCUGGUCGACAUGUACGCCAAAGCCGGCGACCUGGAGAACGCACGCAAGGUGUUCGACAGGAUCCUUAGCCGUAACGUGGUGUCGUGGACGUCGAUGCUCAGCGGCUGCCUGCAGAAUGGUCUCGCCCAAGAAGGACUGGCGCUGUUCAACGAGAUGAGGGAAGAGCGUGUGCUGCCGAGCGAGUACACGAUGGCGAGCGUGCUCACGGCUUGCACCAUGCUCAGCAGUUUACACCAAGGGAGAUGGGUUCAUGGGUCAGUGAUCAAACAUGGUAUGGUCUUUAACCCUUUCGUUACUGCAGCGAUGCUGGAUAUGUAUGUCAAGUGCGGACAGCUAGAGGAUGCUCGGCGGUUGUUUGAUGAGCUCGGUUUUGUUGACCUUGUUCUCUGGACGACGAUGAUCGUGGGGUAUACGCAGAAUGGGAGUCCUCUUGAUGCACUGCUUCUGUUUGCUGGCAAGAAAUUUGUGCGCAUUGUUCCUAAUUCGGUGACCAUAGCAACUGUUCUUUCAGCUUCCGCUCAGUUGCGCAACUUGUCUCUGGGAAGGUUGAUUCAUGGGAUGUCAGUUAAGUUAGGUGUGGUUGAGAAGGAUGUGGUGAUGAAUGCGCUGGUAGAUAUGUAUGCAAAGUGUAAAGCAGUGUCAGAGGCCAAUGGGAUAUUUGGAAGAAUUUCGAACAAGGAUGUUGUCACAUGGAAUUCAUUGAUUGCUGGCUAUGUUGAGAAUGACAUGGGCAAUGAAGCUCUAAUGCUAUUUAGUCAGAUGAGGGUGCAGGGUUCUUCUCCUGAUGCCAUCUCCGUAGUGAACGCCUUGUCAGCCUGUGUUUGUUUUGGGUGA
rnacentral:rRNA from 1 species